UGUGUGCGCCCUUAAAAGAAAUCCCCAGCUAGGGGAGAGGUUGAAAAGCGGAUGCAAUUUCCGGCGCACACU
rnacentral:sRNA from 12 species